rnacentral:lncRNA from 1 species
GACUGCAGCUGGCACUGAAUGGAAAUCUGUUUUCACUGCUUUAAUGUCCAGCUUUAUCUUUGCGUUAACUGAAAAAAUCACAGGAUCUAUAAAUUGGAAAAGCAGAUUUCACUUCUUGUAGAGGGUUACAGCCUGCAAAGUGGCCAUCCCUCGGGCAGGGAAGCACAGCCUUGGCCAAACCCAGUGCCUGGGCCAAGCCCAGGCACUUUGGGGGAGGGAGGAGUUGGGGCAGGAGCUCUGUGCUUGUUUGGCUUUGCCAAACACACAUAUUCCACAGCCUACGGGAGGACUAUGGAGAUCCAUGAGGGUAGCCUUCACACAUGUUCACGGAACACACAUGCACAUGACAUGUGAUGCAUGCUUACCUUGAGGUGGAGGCUUCACAUGUAAAUGUAUUCCAAUUAGGUCUUUCCAGGACUCAAAGGUGCUCAAGUGCACAGCGUCUGUAAACUGGCCAGGACUAGCCCAAGGUCGUGGUCUCUCAUCAGCAGAAAGCUCUUGAAGUCAGUGUCUUGUCCAGUGAAUGCUGCCAUCAUGGCUGGUGGAGCAGGG